UGAAGUGACGGCAGAACCAAAGAGUGGCCAGGGCUGGUCUUUCCACACGGGUCCCGAGAAGAGUGUUCAGGGGAGGCUGACUUUGCGUCUGUGCUGGAGCUCUUUGACUCUCCAGAGGCUGUCAGCGUUUCAUGGCACCGCAGCCACCUGCCCUGUGGGAACUGGACUUUCCACUGGAGGAGUCAGUGUGGUCCCGUCACCUGCGGAAUGGAGCUGGCUCCUGCCCUCACUGGUGAGGAGACUGGGGUCUGACCCCCAACAAUCAUGAGCUGGAGCAGACACAGUAGUUGUCCAGAUGGUGAAGUGUACUGGAUUAGGAUAUAGUGUCAGUCCCCUUUCUACCAACUUUUGGGCAAAUUAUUUCCGUUCCUCUUUUCCCCCUGGAGCACCGUUGUGCACUGACUGCUGCAAGCUUGGGUGGAGCAGAGUGAGCAGAUGGACUUUUUGCCUAAGGCUACAGCCCUCAUUUAUCAUCCACCCUGGUGCUGAUGGAUGCCUUAAAGAUGCCGCUGUGUUAAUCAUGGUAUUUAAAGUGGAAGACUGCAUCUUGCGUAAGUGAAUGAAUUUACAGGUAUACCCA